AUAAGGAGCAAGUAGAAAGUCACAUACUUUGGACAUGAGUUGGGAGUGGACAAUGGACUAGAGAAAAGGACUAUGCUUGAAUUUCUGUUCCACUUGUCCAUCUGUGAUGAUUAAAACAACUUACAAAAUGACUAUAAACAUAGAACAGCAAACAAGACUAUUCAGACAAAAGAGAAGUGUGUAAAAACAAGAGCAUCAGGAGCAUUGAUUCAUUAUAUUCAGCUCAUCAACAAAAUGACUAUUGAAAUAAUACACAAGUUGGUUGUCCUGAAAGAAGACCUACACAUUAAGAGAAAACUUCAGCUAUUUCAUUUGUUCAUUAGAAAAAAACUAUUAACUGGGAAAUUCAGCAUAAUCAGUACAUGUACACCUGCUUAAAUAAUGUUCACCUGAAUCUAAGUAGAACUCUUUUACACAAAAAAAAUCUGUAAGUCAUUCACCUACUAUUAUUUAUUAACUAACUUGGAUUUGCUAAUUACCAAAUAAAUGAGAUGAACUUCUUA